GACAGAGGGUGCAAACGUUGUUCGGAAUUACUGGGCGUAAAGAGCGCGCAGGCGGUCGUUCAAGUCGCGUGUGAAAGCCCCCGGCUCAACUGGGGAGGGUCACGCGAUACUGAUCGACUCGAAGGCAGGAGAGGGAAGUGGAAUUCCCGGUGUAGUGGUGAAAUGCGUAGAUAUCGGGAGGAACACCAGUGGCGAAGGCGGCUACCUGGACCGGAACUGACGCUGAUGCGCGAAAGCGUGGGGAGCAAACAGG
rnacentral:rRNA from 1 species